rnacentral:rRNA from 1 species
UGGGGAAUAUUGCACAAUGGGCGCAAGCCUGAUGCAGCCAUGCCGCGUGUGUGAAGAAGGCCUUCGGGUUGUAAAGCACUUUCAGCGAGGAGGAAGGUGGUGAACUUAAUACGUUCAUCAAUUGACGUUACUCGCAGAAGAAGCACCGGCUAACUCCGUGCCAGCAGCCGCGGUAAUACGGAGGGUGCAAGCGUUGAUCGGAAUUACUGGGCGUAAAGCGCACGCAGGCGGUUUGUUAAGUCAGAUGUGAAAUCCCCGGGCUCAACCUGGGAACUGCAUUUGAAACUGGCAAGCUAGAGUCUCGUAGAGGGGGGUAGAAUUCCAGGUGUAGCGGUGAAAUGCGUAGAGAUCUGGAGGAAUACCGGUGGCGAAGGCGGCCCCCUGGACGAAGACUGACGCUCAGGUGCGAAAGCGUGGGGAGCAAACAGGAUUAGAUACCCUGGUAGUCCACGCUGUAAACGAUGUCGAUUUUGGAGGUUGUGCCCUUGAGGCGUGGCCUCCGGAGCUAACGCGUUAAAUCGACCGCCUGGGGAGUACGGCCGCAAGGUUAAAACUCAAAUGAAUUG